rnacentral:rRNA from 1 species
UACGAGUACCCCAAGCGUUAUCCGAAAUUAUUGGGCGUAAAGGGUGUGUAGGUGGUUGUGUUAGUCUUUUGUGAAAGCCUCCGGCUCAACCGGAGAAUCGCGAGGGAAACGGCACGACUAGAGGGUGUGAGAGGUUUGCGGAACUCAUGGUGUAGGGGUGAAAUCCGUUGAUAUCAUGGGGAACACCAAAUGCGAAGGCAGCAAACUGGCACAUUUCUGACACUGAAACACGAAAGCGUAGGUAGCGAAUGGG